CCAUUAGACGUUCUGGGCCGCACGCGCGCUACACUGACACAGGCAACGAGCUUUCCUUUACCGAAAGGUAUGGGUAAUCUUUUGAAACUGUGUCGUGCUGGGGAUAGAUCCUUGCAAUUUUUGAUCUUAAACGAGGAAUUCCUAGUAAGCGCGAGUCAUCAACUCGCGUUGAUUACGUCCCUGCCCUUUGUACACACCGCCCGUCGCUACUACCGAUUGAAUGGCUUAGUGAGGCCUCAGGAUCCGCGCUUAAUGUGUGGAGAAUUUGGACAAACUACGUCAUUUAGAGGAAGUAAAAGUCGUAACA
rnacentral:rRNA from 1 species